rnacentral:rRNA from 1 species
UAAGCGGAGGAAAAGAAACUAACAAGGAUUCCCCUAGUAACGGCGAGUGAACAGGGAAGAGCUCAAAUUUGUAAUCUGGCGUCCCUUGGGCGUCCGAGUUGUAAUCUAUAGAAGCGUUUUCCGUGCUGGACCAUGUCCAAGUCCCUUGGAACAGGGUAUCAAAGAGGGUGACAAUCCCGUGCUUGACAUGACGACCAGUGCUCUGUGAUACGCUCUCUACGAGUCGAGUUGUUUGGGAAUGCAGCUCAAAAUGGGUGGUGAGUUCCAUCUAAAGCUAAAUAUUGGCGAGAGACCGAUAGCGAACAAGUACCGUGAGGGAAAGAUGAAAAGCACUUUGGAAAGAGAGUUAAACAGUACGUGAAAUUGUUGAAAGGGAAACGAUUGAAGUCAGUCGUGUCCGAGGGGUUCAGCCGGUCCCGCCGGUGUAUUCCCCUCGGAUGGGUCAACGUCAGUUUGGACCGGUGGAAAAGGGCAGUUGGAAGGUAGCAGCUCCGGCUGUGUUAUAGCCUUCUGUCGCACACGUCGGUCUAGACUGAGGAAUGCAGCUCGCCUUCAUGGCUGGGGUUCUCCCACAUUCGAGCUUAGGAUGUUGACAUAAUGGCUUUAAACGACCCGUCUUGAAACACG